rnacentral:rRNA from 1 species
CUUCCCAGAACAGGUGAAUAGCCCUCCGAAAGGAGGAUUAAUACACCGUAAUAUAAUUUGGUGGCAUCAUUAGAUUAUUAAAGGUAGCAAUAUCGGUUUUGGAUGGGCGUGCGCCUGAUUAGGUAGUUGGUGAGGGUAACGGCCCACCAAGCCUUCGAUCAGUAACUGGUGUGAGAGCACGACCAGUCACACGGGCACUGAGACACGGGCCCGACUCCUACGGGAGGCAGCAGUAAGGAAUAUUUGGUCAAUGGACGCAAGUCUGAACCCAGCCAUGCCCGCGUGCAGGAAUGAAA